ensembl:lncRNA
CGGGCGACGCGAGGGCGGCGUGGGGGAGGAGCGGGCUCGCGUGACGGUGGCGGCGGCGGCGGCGGCGGCGGCGGCGGGGGGUGGUGGUGGUGGUGGUGGGCCCGUGCGAGCGCGCGGCGUGGAAGGGAGCAUGUACUGUUUCCUAGCGUGUAAGGUGAAACGAAUGCACACGACCCCCCGCCCCACGCGCGGAUGUGUCCCCCUCAACCAGCCGGGGUUGCUUCCUCCCUCAGUCCGCGGACGGCGCUGAAGCAGGUGAGAGCUUUGAGUCGACUUCUCAGAAGCCUCCCGAAGAAGAGCUAGCGCCGCGAGGUGACUCGGUCUGGUAGGGAAAUGGCAAGUGGAGGAGCUGGUUGAAGUGCUCGUCGGUCGGGCAUUCAAAGCCCUCCAAAUCUGGCCCCACUUUAGCUAUCCAAUCACAGCCGCCUCCAUCCCCCCCGCAAGAACUCCCAGCUCCAAUCAGGGAAGUCUCCAUGCCAUCCUCAGCGCGCAGCAGACUCAUUCUUCCUUGGUGCCUUUGCCCAGGCUGUUCCCCACCCCCUUGCCAGGGGUGCCCUCCCUGCUUUAUAUUCCCAAUUCAGCCCAGGCUGUGAGACGCAGCUCAAGUCGUAGCUUGUCAGGGUCCCUGGCAGCCAAGGCCCCUCCUGUUUCUCAAAGAAACACAUGUAAUACAACAACAUGGAGGCUCAAGCUUCAGCCAAGAGCUCUUCCUUUGCAGCCAUCUAUACCCACCCUAGCCAGAGACUGCCCACCGCUCGCCCUCUUCCCCAUUCGUACUUAGAGAGCUUUGCUGGCCGAGAGCCAGCCUGCCCCCAACAAGUCCGUCUUCCUCUAAGAGUAGGAUUGGCUUUUCUAGGUGGGGCUGGUCAGAAAGGCCAAGUGCCUGGGUGUAGAAGACAACAGCCAAAGCCUCUGGCACCAAAUGGAACAGCUGCACAGCUCUCACUGACCUUUUUCUGGGCCUGUGGCUGUAAAGAGCCUUCCAGCUCUUAACUUUUCCGACCGUGUUUCUAUCAGACUUCUACCUGUCCGAUUUUCUGGCCACUUUCCUGGGUGGACUUUGAGCUAGGAGGCUCUGCCACCUUUCAGAUUUCUAGUGGGUGGGGAAUCUGAUUGGCUUGGGUUGCGUGGUCUUUUGAGUGUUGUUCCUUGCUUUGGCUUGAAACUCUCUUGCUUUUGUCCAUGUGACCUCAGGCCCGGUUCACAGACUCCAUGCCCAGACUCACCCUGAAUGUUUGUACCUGGUGGGGUGGGGGGAGGACACUUGUGUGCAAAACACAGUUUCUUCACGAGAAUCCAGUCUGUUCCAAACCAGUGCAUGGACUGCAUCGCACAAGUGAGCCCCCUUUUUCACAACCUGAGGACACAGUGGCUUUAGGCUAAGACUUGGGGCCUUCGACUGGCAAAAAAGCAGUUUGAGCAGACAUCUGGAACCAUUAGGUUCAACCAGCCAGGAGAGGGGUUUUCGAAUAGUAGCAGACUGAAGAGAUCCUAUUGCCAGAAUGAGACAUUCUUUCAGAAAAAGAUGGAUCAUUGCUCAUUGAGACAUUUGAGAGAAUAUGACCAUGAUAAUGAGAAAGGGCUACUUGUCAGUAAAACUAGUAGCUGAAAGAUACAGGAAAAGGCCUCCUUCAGAAACCAUUAGACAUCAGUAACCAGUGGAGCAGAGAAUAAGCGGGAGCUGUGAGAAGACAAGCUGGAAGGGCCUAUAGAAGGUGAGGAACUGAAAUACAGAGCUCUGGAGGCACACAGUCCACAAAACAAAACAAAAGGAUUCAUAUUUAAACCUAAAUAGAGGACCAGCAAGAUGGCUCAAUGGAUAAAGGCACUUGCUGCCAAACUACACAACAGAAGUUGGAUCCUCAGACUCACACGGAAUGGAAGGAGAGAACCUACUUCCUCAGGUCACCCUUUGACUUACAUUCCUGUACCAUGGUACACAUGUAUUGUACAAGUGUCUAUUCAGAAGAGUUAUAUAUCCAGGCCAGGUUUAUGAGAUUUCUGCAUCAGUUCAUUGCUCAGAAUUCCAGUGAAUCAAAGGC